UACGAAGGGGGCUAGCGUUGUUCGGAAUUACUGGGCGUAAAGCGCGCGCAGGCGGCUAUCCAAGUCAGUGGUGAAAGCCCGGAGCUCAACUCCGGAACUGCCAUUGAAACUGUUUAGCUUGAGGAUGAGAGAGGUGAGUGGAAUUCCCAGUGUAGAGGUGAAAUUCGUAGAUAUUGGGAAGAACACCAGUGGCGAAGGCGGCGACCUGGGCCAAUAUUGACGCUGAGGUGCGAAAGCGUGGGGAGCAAACAGG
rnacentral:rRNA from 1 species